rnacentral:rRNA from 1 species
GCGAAUACCGGAGAAUGUUAUCACGGGAGACACACGGCGGGUGCUAACGUCCGUCGUGAAGAGGGAAACAACCCAGACCGCCAGCUAAGGUCCCAAAGUCAUGGUUAAGUGGGAAACGAUGUGGGAAGGCCCAGACAGCCAGGAUGUUGGCUUAGAAGCAGCCAUCAUUUAAAGAAAGCGUAAUAGCUCACUGGUCGAGUCGGCCUGCGCGGAAGAUGUAACGGGGCUAAACCAUGCACCGAAGCUGCGGCAGCGACACUCAGGUGUUGUUGGGUAGGGGAGCGUUCUGUAAGCCUGCGAAGGUGGCCUGUGAGGGUUGCUGGAGGUAUCAGAAGUGCGAAUGCUGACAUAAGUAACGAUAAAGCGGGUGAAAAGCCCGCUCGCCGGAAGACCAAGGGUUCCUGUCCAACGUUAAUCGGGGCAGGGUGAGUCGACCCCUAAGGCGAGGCCGAAAGGCGUAGUCGAUGGGAAACGGGUUAAUAUUCCCGUACUUGGUGUUACUGCGAAGGGGGGACGGAGAAGGCUAUGUUGGCCGGGCGACGGUUGUCCCGGUUUAAGCGUGUAGGUGUGUGUUCCAGGUAAAUCCGGUUCACUUUAACACUGAGGCGUGACGACGAGGCACUACGGUGCUGAAGCAACAAAUGCCCUGCUUCCAGGAAAAGCCUCUAAGCAUCAGGUAACAUCAAAUCGUACCCCAAACCGACACAGGUGGUCAGGUAGAGAAUACCAAGGCGCUUGAGAGAACUCGGGUGAAGGAACUAGGCAAAAUGGUGCCGUAACUUCGGGAGAAGGCACGCUGACACGUAGGUGAAGUGAUUUACUCAUGGAGCUGAAGUCAGUCGAAGAUACCAGCUGGCUGCAACUGUUUAUUAAAAACACAGCACUGUGCAAACACGAAAGUGGACGUAUACGGUGUGACGCCUGCCCGGUGCCGGAAGGUUAAUUGAUGGGGUCAGCGCAAGCGAAGCUCCUGAUCGAAGCCCCGGUAAACGGCGGCCGUAACUAUAACGGUCCUAAGGUAGCGAAAUUCCUUGUCGGGUAAGUUCCGACCUGCACGAAUGGCGUAAUGAUGGCCAGGCUGUCUCCACCCGAGACUCAGUGAAAUUGAACUCGCUGUGAAGAUGCAGUGUACCCGCGGCAAGACGGAAAGACCCCGUGAACCUUUACUAUAGCUUGACACUGAACAUUGAGCCUUGAUGUGUAGGAUAGGUGGGAGGCUUUGAAGUGUGGACGCCAGUCUGCAUGGAGCCGACCUUGAAAUACCACCCUUUAAUGUUUGAUGUUCUAACGUGGACCCGUAAUCCGGGUUGCGGACAGUGUCUGGUGGGUAGUUUGACUGGGGCGGUCUCCUCCUAAAGAGUAACGGAGGAGCACGAAGGUUGGCUAAUCCUGGUCGGACAUCAGGAGGUUAGUGCAAUGGCAUAAGCCAGCUUGACUGCGAGCGUGACGGCGCGAGCAGGUGCGAAAGCAGGUCAUAGUGAUCCGGUGGUUCUGAAUGGAAGGGCCAUCGCUCAACGGAUAAAAGGUACUCCGGGGAUAACAGGCUGAUACCGCCCAAGAGUUCAUAUCGACGGCGGUGUUUGGCACCUCGAUGUCGGCUCAUCACAUCCUGGGGCUGAAGUAGGUCCCAAGGGUAUGGCUGUUCGCCAUUUAAAGUGGUACGCGAGCUGGGUUUAGAACGUCGUGAGACAGUUCGGUCCCUAUCUGCCGUGGGCGCUGGAGAACUGAGGGGGGCUGCUCCUAGUACGAGAGGACCGGAGUGGACGCAUCACUGGUGUUCGGGUUGUCAUGCCAAUGGCACUGCCCGGUAGCUAAAUGCGGAAGAGAUAAGUGCUGAAAGCAUCUAAGCACGAAACUUGCCCCGAGAUGAGUUCUCCCUGAGACUUAGAGUCUCCUGAAGGAACGUUGAAGACGACGACGUUGAUAGGCCGGGUGUGUAAGCGCAGCGAUGCGUUGAGCUAACCGGUACUAAUGAACCGUGAGGCUUAACCUUACA